AGGUGGUGGAUAACCUUCCGAAAGGAGGGCUAAUACAGCAUAAGACCACGACUCCGAAAGGGGUUGAGGUCAAAGUCGGCCUCUAUUCAUAAGCUGACGCCAGGGGAUCGGCCUGCGGCCCAUCAGGUAGUUGGUAGGGUAACGGCCUACCAAGCCAAGACGGUAGCUGGUCUGAGAGGAUGAUCAGCCACACUGGAACUGAGACACGGUCCAGACUCCUACGGGAGGCAGCAGUGGGGAAUCUUGCGCAAUGGGCGAAAGCCUGACGCAGCGACGCCGCGUGGGUGAUGAAGGCCUUCGGGUUGUAAAGCCCUGUGGGGGGAGACGAAUAAGUCGUGGCGAACAGCCACGAUGAUGACGGUAUCCCCUUAGCAAGCACCGGCUAACUCUGUGCCAGCAGCCGCGGUAAGACAGAGGGUGCAAACGUUGUUCGGAAUUACUGGGCGUAAAGC
rnacentral:rRNA from 1 species